rnacentral:rRNA from 1 species
UACGUAGGGUGCAAGCGUUGUCCGGAAUUAUUGGGCGUAAAGAGCUCGUAGGCGGUGUGUCGCGUCGGCCGUGAAAACUUGGGGCUUAACUCUGAGCGUGCGGUCGAUACGGGCAUCACUUGAGUUCGGCAGGGGAGACUGGAAUUCCUGGUGUAGCGGUGAAAUGCGCAGAUAUCAGGAGGAACACCGGUGGCGAAGGCGGGUCUCUGGGCCGAUACUGACGCUGAGGAGCGAAAGCAUGGGGAGCGAACAGG